UUGCAACACGCCCCUAUUGAAAUAUCAGAGGAAGGCAGAUUGGCGACUCUAAAGAUGAGACAGGCACCUAUCAAUGGGACAAGAUAGCUGUGAUCAAACCAGCAUGGGGUAACUCCCUGAGAGACUCGAUGAAAGAACAAGAUAAAGGAUGAGAAGGACAAUUUAAGAAAACAAGCACUCAUCAAACAACAAUUGAUUACAGCAUGAUGGUGCAAAAUUCAUUGGUCACAAUGAAGGAAAAUCAAUAUAUAAUCAGGGAGAUGGGGAGUACUUGUGGCACCUUAGAGACUAACAAAUUUAUUUGAG